rnacentral:rRNA from 1 species
UCGACGGCAGCACGGGGGCAACCCUGGUGGCGAGUGGCGAACGGGUGAGUAAUACAUCGGAACGUGCCCAGUCGUGGGGGAUAACGUAGCGAAAGCUACGCUAAUACCGCAUACGAACUCUGGUUGAAAGCGGGGGAUCGCAAGACCUCGCGCGAUUGGAGCGGCCGAUGGCAGAUUAGGUAGUUGGUGGGGUAAAGGCUCACCAAGCCGACGAUCCGUAGCUGGUCUGAGAGGACGACCAGCCACACUGGGACUGAGACACGGCCCAGACUCCUACGGGAGGCAGCAGUGGGGAAUUUUGGACAAUGGGCGCAAGCCUGAUCCAGCCAUUCCGCGUGCAGGAUGAAGGCCCUCGGGUUGUAAACUGCUUUUGGACGGAACGAAAAGGCCUUUUCUAAUACAGAGGGCUCAUGACGGUACCGUCAGAAUAAGCACCGGCUAACUACGUGCCAGCAGCCGCGGUAAUACGUAGGGUGCAAGCGUUAAUCGGAAUUACUGGGCGUAAAGCGUGCGCAGGCGGUUAUGUAAGACAGGUGUGAAAUCCCCGGGCUUAACCUGGGAACUGCAUUUGUGACUGCAUACUAGAGUACGGUAGAGGGAUGGAAUUCCGCGUGUA